UACGUAGGGUGCAAGCAUUAUCCGGAGUGACUGGGCGUAAAGAGUUGCGUAGGUGGCUUUGUAAGCGAAUAGUGAAAUGUGGCGGCUCAACCGUACACACUAUUAUUCGAACUGCAAGGCUUGAGAAUGGUAGAGGUAACUGGAAUUUCUUGUGUAGGAGUGAAAUCCGUAGAUAUUUGGAGGAACACCGAUGGCGUAGGCAGGUUACUGGAUCGCAACUGACACUGAGGCACGAAAGCGU
rnacentral:rRNA from 1 species